rnacentral:lncRNA from 1 species
CUGACAGUUGCAAAUCCACCGCUCUCUGCUGUGCUGCUGUGCUGAGAAGGGGACUUUGCAAACCGCCUUUUCCCGGAGCUUGGCUUGCUUCCUGCUUCUGCCGGCAGAGGGCUCUGCACGGGGCGGGCCCAGGGAGGGAGGCGGGGCCUCAUGACCGGCGGGCUUCGCCCACCCCGGAUGCGGUGGCGCCUCGCCCGGCGGCCGCCGCUGGUUGCAGCCUUCCCCCUUCUUCCCGCGCUUCCAGAAGCAGCCUCGUGGGAGGCGCCGUCUUCCUCAGAAGCACCUUCUCUAAACCCCUGGUCCCAGCAGCAUCCGGGUAGCAGCGCUCCCGCCUCCACAGGAAUGAGAUGUAAGCCAGGAGGCAAGCCUGAGGCCGAGAAGCCACCAGGGAUGGCAGAGUCUCCUGCAGGAUUGAAGGUGGCCAGGGCCGAGGUCAAGGCCCCGAUGGAGGCCGCAGGCAAGGUGAGUGUCAGGCAUGCUCCCAGCUCUUAUCUCUGGAGGCCUGUGGGGAUGCCCGUCGAAAACCACAGUCAGGAGUUCCCUGGUGGCCUAGUGGUUAAGGAUCCAGCAUUGUCCCUGCUGUAGCUUGGGUUUGAUCCCGGGCCUGGGAACUUCUUCAUGAUGUGAGUGUGGCACACACAAAAAAACCAAAAAAACAAAAAAAAAAAACAAAAAAAACCAACCGAAAAACCACCCCCCAGCCAAUAUCUGCCUCUGUGGCCACACUAAGAAAAUCUGAAAGAAUGGGGAGUUUGGGGACUGUUUCUACCUGUUCUUCACUAACUUCAUGUUGGUUUCCCCAUUUUUUGUUAACAAACUUAUUUUCUGGCAGUCUUGGGAUAAGAAAGCUAGAAAGAGGACUGGGCGGAUCAUGAUGAUUUCCUGUUUCAGAUAGUGUCACCUUUAUCCCUCAGGAGACAGCGUUCCUGGAAACUAAUUACCCAGGGAAUUCAUGAUUGGGUACAGUGACAUGUGAGUUAUAAAGAUAUUAACCUCCAGCCAGUUUGCUGUCAAAACACAAUGUGAUGGGAACUUGGUCUGUCAUCACCCAACUAAUGGAGGCAAAAGGCUAGGAUGUUUACAUUGUGUAUUUGCUUGGAUUUCAGAGAAAGGCGUUUGACAUGGAAUCUCUCAGAGCUUACCAAAGGGGAAAUUUUGAGGAGUACACUUAGCGGUAAUAUACCACUGAUACAUAUUAGGAGUAUUCUUGCUAAUAUUUGUUGAGUUCCUCCUGCUGUACUUCAGACUGAUACAGGCACUACGUCUAAUACUCCUAAAAAUCCUUCAAGGAAAGUAGCGUUGUCCCAUUUUAGCUCUGGAUCGUACUCAAAGGUCACCCUGCCAGCGGAGACAAAACUGAAAUUCAUGUUUGUUUUUUGAACUCUAAAAUUGGGGGCCCUCGUCAGUAUACUGCGGUCCCUAAACUUGUUCUGGAAAGGGCCAGAUAUUUUCAGCUUUGCUCAGUGUGGCAGCUUCUCAGUUCAGCUCCUGGAGCACAAAGACAGCCAUAGACAAUACAAGAAUGAAUGAGUCUCUCUGUGACCCAAUAAAACUUGAUUCACAGACA